UGACAGAGAAUCAGUGGGCUCCCUGAAGC
rnacentral:piRNA from 1 species